rnacentral:lncRNA from 10 species
AAAUCAAGUCCGCGGGGCAUGGAGGCUGCUGUCGCUGCAGCAGCUCAGCUUGCCCGGGGCGGGAACUCCCCCUUUCUCCUUUCGCCUCCCCAGCACCCACACCCUGUCUCCCCCUUAAUUCUUCCCUGGAUAAUAGCACCCUAACGACAACAGUCAUAAUAAUAGGGUUAGAACGACAGGGGAGGAAAACUCAACAGCCUAAAUAUCUCUGAAAACUGCAUCGCAAAAUGGAAGAAAGAGGGGGUCCCACUACUGUUUCAAAAGAGAGCCAUGGAAGUCAAAUGCUGAGGAUGGUGGCAUCAUAGGAUGAAUGGAGCUGGGUUCUUGAAACACUGCCUGGAGGAAAGACAGCAAAAAUGCCUCAUGAAUCCAACUGGACUGUUAGGAUGCUCACCCUUGGAGACCAGCAACAAUGUGUGCAGAAACCCAGGCCAUGUGGAGAGGCCCCACAUACGUGUCCAACUGAGGUCCCAGCUGACAGCUGGCAUUGACAUGUGAGUGAGACUCUGAACGUUCCAGCUGAUGACAAGUACAGUUUGAGCGAGCUAUCCCUGUUGGGCCUGUCAAAACUGCAGAUUUCAUGAAGAAAAUAAGUGUUGUUGACUUAAGCCAAAUGUUCACUCUGGGGGAAGCCAGCUGCCACGCUGUAAGGACACUCGGGCAGUCCUAUGAAGAGGCCCGUGUGGUGAGAAAGAGAGGCCUCCAGCCAACAGCCAUGUGAGUGGGCCAUUGAGGAAGCAGCCUCAGUGCCUGCAGCCCUGACUGGCAUCCUGAACUACCACCUUAAAUGAGACCCUGAGCCAGAGUCACUACUUCCAAAUUCUUGACCCACAGAAAUUGUGAAAUAAUAUUUGUUGUUUUAAGCCGCCAAGUUUUGGGAGUAAUUUGUUAUAUAGCAAAAGAUAAUUAAUACAUUCACUUCCUAAGAUUAUGGUGAAGAAUUAAGGAUACAGCAUGAAAAGAACUUUGCUAUUAUUUUUAUUAUCUGAUCCAAUUUAUGUUGAAGGGCCUUCAGUACUUUCUUCUUUUACUCUAUCUUGACAUUUGUCUGAAACAUUUUUGUUUGUUUGUUUGUUUGUUUGUUUGUUUUUUAGAGAUGGGGUCUUGCUAUGUUUCCCAGUUGGAGUGCAGUGAUUAUUCACAGACAUGAUCCCACUACUGAUCAGCAUGGGAGUUUUCACCUGCUCCAUUUCCCACCUGGGAGGUCAUCAUAUUGAUGGCGAGCUAAGUGUGGACACCUGAUCAGCAUAGCACAGUACAGCCCAGAACCCCUGGGCUCCAGUGAUCCUCUUACUUCAGCCUCUUGAGUAGCUGGAACUACAGGCCUGCACCACUGCACCCGGCUAGUUUGUUUUUGUUAGAGUUUUGUCUCUAGGAUUUUCCUCAGCUGAGUAUGUGAAGGCUAACUUCUCCUUGUGAAUCUGCAAAUAUCCUUAUUUUACCCUUUAUUUUACCAUGUAUCAUUUACAGGUAAAUGAUAUCUUAGCUGUGUAUUGAAUUUCUGUUUUUUGUUUUUUCUUCAGUACUCUAUAAAUAUUACUCCAGUAUCUUCUAGCUUCUCCCAUUUUCUCCUAGUGAAUGGUUAUUCUGCUCUUAUCUAGCAGGUGAUAAAUCUGUCAACAGAUAGUUUUUCCUUUUUGUUUUAUGUGUAAGUUGUUAUUUCUUCCUUAAAGUUCAUAAUCUUUUCCCAUUUAUUCUCUAAAUUUUAGACUAUAACCAGGAUGUGUUUAGGUUGAUAUCUUUGCUUAUCUAUUCUGCCUGGAAAUCAGGAACCUCUUCCAAUAUUCAGACUUGUGUUUUCAGCUCAGAAUAAUUAUUUUAUCAUUUGUUUGAUUAUUCCUUUAGUUGCACUGGAUCUUAGUUAAAAUGCCCAUUCUGAUUCAAAGUAUCUGGAAGGCAAGUAUUUGUCAACUAAGGGAAAGGUGACCAUGCAUCAUUGGUUUUGCUGAGACUACCUGGUUUACACCUUCAGGCUUUAUACUUAGAAAAUAUUGCGAUCAUCUUCUGGUCAUGAAGUUACAAACUUCAGGACAAAGGCUAACCAGCUAAGACUAGCAGAGCAAAUUCCAAGAACUUGGGGCUUUAAUUAACUUGAAUUGAUUUGGACUUGCCCUACCUUUAACUUCACACUGAGAUAAAAAUUCCCCACAUUUUCAAGCCAUUUUUGAGAUGAGUCUCUUAUGGUUGAAAGCAUCCUAAUUUAUACAACAUCCUUUUGGUACCUAACUAAAUAUUCACCAAUAUUUGGCACAUUUGUUAAAUCUUUUGGUGUGUGCCUCUUCUAUGUAAUGUAAAUAUGGUCUGAAUAUCCAUUCAGAAAUUAUAGUUGAUUUGCAAAAAUAACUACUAUAUCACCUAUAUUAAUUGAUAGUUAUUCCUUCCCAACCUUCUUUCACUCUUCCAUAUAUAUACAGAGUAAAUCUACAUCAUUAUGUUGAUUAAACAAAAUAGCAGUGAAAUCAGGAUGUUACUGCUCAUUGUGCAUUUAUUUCAAUUAUGGAAAAAGCCAACACUUUACUCCCUUAUUUAACACUUCUGUAGAAAAGCAGUUGAAAUAACCUAGUGUCAUUCUAAAAUGAUUUGUAUACUAUGUAGACCAGAAUCUAGGGCUAUACCUAAAAAUACAUAAAUGAAAUUAUUCUAGAAGUUAAAUCUUCAUGAAAAAACAAAUUAAAUGGUUUACUAACCUCAAGCUGAUUAAAUGUUUUUAUUAAAUGCAGCCUCAGCCAGCACCUCUUUUCAUGGCUGCAAUAAUUAAGUAUAAUAAAUAUUCAAAUCAGUAAUUGAAUUUGUUAAAAAAAACAUGCUCAGCUCAGUGAAGACUUUCUAAUAAAUAGAAUUCAGGUACCAUAUUUUCAUACUUCAUGACACUUGCCUCAUCUUAGUUUGAUGACUGCCGUUUCUUGCACUGUAACAAGAUUUUAUUUUUAUUUUGUUUUACGCUAUUCAAACAAAUACAUUCAAAGUCAUAGGCUACACCUAUGUAUAACCAUAUUCUGAGAGUUGGCUUAUGUGUUUGUUUAUUUUCUCACAAUUAAAGAUAGGUCAGAUGUUGCCAAAUUAGUAAAUAACUAAACUUGAGAUGGGAAAUACUCUAGAGACACAAUCUGCUUAGUUUUGCAUAGUUUUGCAUAGUUUUAGUCACUUUUCCCGUUACUCUGUCCAGCUUUCCAGUAAUACUCAUAACAUUGCCUUGAUUUCAUAUGACCACGCAGUAAAGUGAUUACUGCACUUAGAAUUUUGUUGCUUUUGCUGUGCUAACAACUUAAAAGUUUAAAAUAACUGAUGUUCAAAACAGUGAAGAUUUCCUUUUAUAAACAAGUUGGAAAGGAAAGUUUUUAUGUUAUUAUCCUCAAGUAUUCUAACUAAUAUAAAAUGUCUUUCAGUCUUUUAGGCAAACCAUUUAGACAAAAAGUACAAAUAAUAAAUUUACAUUGUGUUAAGCUGCGAUCAUAUUUCUUUCUCUUGAUUUACUUUUGAAAUUUUCCUUAUGCACCUGGUGAUACUGAAAGAUGAGUCAAAUAGUGUAAUACAAUAGGGCAAUAUGAACUUCUGUUGUAGUUUCCAUUAGUUGCAUCAAUUCAAAUUGCACCUGGAAAAGAUCUAAGCACGACAUAAAGCCAAGACAGCACAUAAGGGUGAUGGCAAACAAUAAUAAUAUUUACAUCUUUUUUUUUUUUUUUUUUGGAGACAGAAUCUCACUCUGUCGGCCAGGCUGGAGUGCAGUGGCGUGAUCUCGGCUCACUGCAACCUCCGCCUCCUGGGUUCAAGCGAUUCUCCUGCCUCAGCCUCCUGAGUAGCUGGGACUACAGGGUCCUGCCACGAUGCCCAGCUAAUUUUGGUAUUUUUAGUAGAGACGGGGUUUCACCAUAUUGGCCAGGAUGGUCUCAAACUCCUGACCUUGUGAUCCACCCAAUCUUCAUUGCAUCAUUUAACUUUCAUUGGUAUCACAGUAAUUCACUAACAUUCAUUCCUUACAGGCAGUUAUGAAUAAUUGAAAAAUUUUUAACAUCAUCUCAUGGGCAAAAGAAUAUUUAUUCAUUGGCUUAGCUUAACAAAUCAUUAUUAAACACCUACUGUGUGCCAGGCACUGUUCUAGACACUGGAGUUACAGCAGUGAACAAAAUAAACACGCUCUCCAGUCUGGUGGAGUUCACAUACUGGUGCGGGGAGAGAGAUGCAUACAAACAAAAAUGCAUAUUUAAUACUUCACCAAUUGAUAGGUGCUAUGAAGAAAAAUAAACCAUAGUAAGGAUGACAUAGAGUGCUGGAUGGAGGUUUUAGUACAUAUACGUUAGCCAGAGAAGGCAUCUCUGAGAAGUUGCCAUUUGAGAAAAAGAGGGAGUAGGCUCAGUGGAUUCUGAGGGAAGAAUAAGUUUGAGAUUCUGAGUCAUUCAUGUCCUUGGCAGAUCAAUAAAGAGGAAGCAGAUGCUGUGGCCGGAACUCAGUGUGCAUGUUGGGGCAGUGGUAGGAGGCUAUGGUUGUAAGACAGGGCUACCUCCCAUAGGGUCUUGAAGACCAUAGUAAAGACUGUGGCAUCUCCUCUCCAGUAGUUUGAGCAGAGGAAUGGUAGCAUUCUACUUAGGAUUUAAAAGGUUUGCUCUAGCUGAUUUGUGGAGAAUAGGUUUGUAAGGCAGCAUAGUGAAUGAAAGGAGAAAAGUUAGGCGAUUGCAAACAUCCAGGUGAGAGUUGAUAUCAGACGGUGAUGGUGUCACAGAUGCGUUUCAUGCGAUGGGCUCAAUUAAUGGCCUCCAUGUUUCACCCUUCUCUUUCUUGGGACUGGCUUGCCUGCUGGAAGGUGAGGAAACAGCCUGUCAUCCCAGCUGAGGCCAUCCUAGAUCAGCCAACUGUCAGCUGCUUGUGUGUCAGUGAACCCCAGCCAAGACCGGAAGACCUGCCCAGCUGAGCUCAGCCAAGAUCAGCAAAACCUCUCAGCUUAUAACCUUAUAAACUUACCAAUUUAGGUGUGGUUGUGACACAGAAUUAUUGUAUUAUUGUAUGCAUGGUGAGUAUUGUAUAUUACACAUGGGAAUCAUAGAAACAGUGAAAAGCCAGUAAUUUCUGAGUAUAUAUUAAAGUUAGGGCAAAUUGUGUGAGGUGGAGAAGCCACAUACUCCAAAUUUCUGGCCUGAGACAUUGGAAGAAUGAAUAUGGAUGAUGGAGGUGGAUAUUGAAUCUGAAAUGAAUUUUUCAUUUUGUGAAAUUUUGUGAAGUUUCAUUUUGUGUUGAAUAUCUUGUGACUCACCGAAAUGAAAAUCAUAAAAUAAAAUUUGUCCUUAAUGCCUAAAAUUUUAUAAUGUUGUUCUAUUCUUUAGGAAAAAAAAUUCUGGCUGGGC